GACGAACGCUGGCGGCGUGCUUAACACAUGCAAGUCGUACGGUAAGGACCUUUGGGGGGUCCACGAGUGGGGGAUGGGUGAGUAACACGUGAGUAACGUGCCCACACCUUGGGGCUAAGGCUAAGUAACUGGUGCGAAUACUGAAUCUGCGCUCCUGCUGCAGGGUGGUGUUUGUUAUUCUCCGGCGGUUGUGGCUGGACUCCCGGCCUAACAGCCUUUUUGUGGGGUAGUAGCAUACCAAGGGGGCGACGGGUAGCCGGCAUGAGAGGGUGACCGGCCACAUUGGGACUGAGAGACGGCCCAGACUCCUACGGGAGGCAGUAGUGGGGAACAUUGCACAAUGGGCGCACGCCUGAUGCAGCAGCGCCGCGAGCGGGAUGACGGCCUUCGGGUUGUGAACCGCUUUCAGCAUGGACGAAGCUUUUUGUGACGGUAGCUUAAGAAGAAGCACCGGCUAACUACGUG
rnacentral:rRNA from 1 species